rnacentral:rRNA from 1 species
UACGAAGGGGGCUAGCGUUGCUCGGAAUUACUGGGCGUAAAGGGCGCGUAGGCGGCCUGUUAAGUCGAACGUGAAAUCCCUGGGCUCAACCCAGGAACUGCGUCCGAUACUGGCAGGCUUGAAUUCGGGAGAGGGAUGCGGAAUUCCAGGUGUAGCGGUGAAAUGCGUAGAUAUCUGGAGGAACACCGGUGGCGAAGGCGGCAUCCUGGACCGGCAUUGACGCUAAAGCGCGAAAGCCAGGGGAGCAAACGGG